UCUUGGCCCAGGCAAGGGAACUGCUUGAGCAGCUCCGUCUUCUGCCGCUUAUAGUUGUCGGUAGCCGAGCGCCAGUGGGGCUCCUCCAGCACCUCGAAGAUCGCCGCCCCGAUGGACAGGUAGAAGAUGAUGGCCGAGGUUCAGCGGAAUUCCUCGUUUUCGAGGCCGGGAGGUCUAUGGCUCUCCUGGAUGCGUGGAAGCUUGGGGGGAAGGUGAGCAGGAGCUCUGAGGAGAAAAGAAGGUGUCGGUCCGCAGAAUUCACCCCUUCCCUGAGACGUCCACACGUGGGCAUUACAGAUCAUUAGGAGCAGAAACUGCAUCUCCCAUUUCUUUCAUGCCUUUGGUGCCUUCAAUAAAUAUCGCUGUGUAUUGCUGUUCGUGGGUUUGGGAGGAAGAGAGAGACACCGGCUAGUGAUUUUCCAUAAGAUGCUCCAAACAUCUUCCAGGCUGAAGCCCUCCUGAACUCACUCUGUUUGUGAAGCUUUCCCCAGGAGCCGCUUACAGCUGUGCACAAGCCCUCGCCCCUCCGUGUUUGGAUGGGGUGGAAAUGGGGUUACAUGGGUCAGGGAGAGAUAUAUUGAUGUGUUAAUCACACUGGCAAAGUGCUUCUGGUGUGGACAAGGUUCAUCUUACAAACAUUAUUUUUGUUGGGGGUGUCUUCUUGUCUUCUCCAGCCCCCACAACAGGAAGUAAACACUCAAGAAGUAGAGCAGUUCAUAUCAACUGCAUCAACACUUAAGAGUUUUGGGGUUAUAGGUACUCAGUUGGAGUACACAAACUAAAAGGCUAAGAUAAGCCUGUGCAGACAUAAUUGAAAUGGGAAGAGGAGGAAUGAAGGAGAAUGGGAAAGACAAAGGAGAGAGGUAGAAAAUGAGAAGUGUGCAAGAGAGUAUGAGAAAACAAAAAGGAACAUGCAUUGGUUAGAAGGUAUAUGGAGAUACCUGUAUAAAACUUUGAAUCAUGCCCAAUGGAUGCUCGUUUGAGAUUGCCCCCAGGAAAUCACAUGGCCCUUAAGCAGUCCUUCCUACUAAUGUAUAUAGUGCUCAAUAAAAAUACAUCUGCAAGAGGUUCCUAGCAGCUUAAAAGCAAGACUGGAGAAACCACAAAAUCCACAAGCACAUGAAGUGAUCAGUCCUUGCAUGGGAUUUCCCAGUCAUUUAAAGGAAACAUUCAAAAGAAAAAAGGAUUUUCAAACUGCAGUAGUUAAAUAUAUAUAUAUAUAUACUGGAGGAAAUAGCAAGAAAAAAGCAUCAUAAUAAACAUUUUUAAAGUGUCAUAAAGAAACUAUACUAAUCUUUUUCAUUAAGGCAAAAAUGGGGAAUGCUUCACAAAGUUUAAAAGCUGCAAUUUCCUUUUAAUUAAAAGGAAAAGAAUUUCAUGAUGCACAACUACCACAUGAAAAUUAUUCCCAGGUGUUAUCACUUGGCCCAAGACCUUUGCAAAAAUUGAAAAGCCAUUGGCCAAAUAAUUUAAUAAUGUGAGCCUCUGUCAUUGUCUCACUCGCUGAUUUAAAAGUAAAGUUAAAAAUUUUAUAUAAGUACCCAUGGCAAGUGACUGAAAGUAUUGAAGAACUUUCAGUAGGCAAAUUAUUAUAUAAUUUUCCUUUUGGUGCUCUUGCACCUUCUUCUGAGUCACCUGCAAGUGGUUAGGUUAUUCCGACAGCAGCAGCAGUAGCCUGACACGUUACAGCAAUGCUGCACUUGUGUGUUCCUGACCCUGAACAUCUGCGCUUUGUAACUGGAAGGUAUUUGAUUAAAUUUUGAAACUGUACUCUCCUCCAUCUGGGUUUAAGUCUCUAAAGGCCCAUUUAUACGCUGAAACAGUAUUUUAAAGGCGAAAGGAAUGACACCAAUGACCCUCAACCCACUGCAGUUACAGAGCACAAAAUGAGCAAAAACUUUUAGGCAUUUUACAGAAAGUUUGUUUGUGAUUUUGAUUCAACAUUUCUACUUUCCACUCUAAACUCCCAAUCACUGAUUGCAUAAUUAGUACUCUCUUGACUGAGUCAGUCGGUUUUAAAAACAAACCUGUAAAUCACAUACCAUUUUUCCCUGUGUUGAAAUGCUAUUGCACUUGUUAGACUGUCUCCUUGUGUUUCUCUGGGUUUAAAAGAGGUGACCCUGGUAAGGAGCAACAUCCAGAAGAAUAGUUUAUUCCCCAAGGAACUGUAACCAACUAUUCCUGCAACUAGAGGUGAUCCACUGAGUAUCAGCAAACUUCAAGCACUUAGAUAUUUCACUUUGAUUCCAUUGUCUUUUGCAGAACAAGUUACAGGGUAUACUUUCAUGCUGCUGUCCUAGUAGUGUGGCAAGAAGGAAUGUUUUGUGUAGCUGGCCUCUCUUUGCACCUCCUGAUCUAAUAUGCUUCUCCUGACCUCAGAAAAGAUCCCAUAUCCUUUUAUUCAUGGCCCUUUUCUCCUCUUUGUUAAACAGUACCCCUAUUGUCAACCCACAGCACCUGCCACAUAGGCCCCAAAGCUUUUCAUGCUAGCUAAGUUAAUCAAAAGGCUGGGGUUAUUCACUCACAGGCCUUUAAAUCUCAUUAAAAAUCAAGGGACAAACAGCAGAAAGCACUGUGGUGAGCAAUAUCACAAGUAUCAAUCAUUUGUGUUAUUUGCAUAGGACGCUAUUUCAGGCUGUCCAGUCCAAAAGGAAAUCUCUUUCAUCCAAGCUGUAUGUCUAAGACACAUUUGCUGUACAGAUGUUUCCUAGGACAGCCUGGAAUGAAUGAAUAAAUGUCAGAAAAUGUUUAGAUGGAGCAAGUAAAACACAUUAUUUGGGCAAAAGAAGCCUGUUAUAUAGUGGCAAAGACUGCGUGUUAUACCGAAUAUGAACUCUCUUCAAGCCUCUGCCAUUUUUCACUUAGAAGUCUGUGUUUGGCUGGUUGAUGACUGUUCCCAAUGCCUGUCAACUCUGCAUCUUUCAUUUUUCUUAACUGCUGAGAUUUAGACACCUCCAACAUUGCCUUCAAGUGUUAUGCAUGCAGCCAUAUUUAAGCUGAGCGGUGCACUGUCAUGACUAUCGUGAGCAGUUUUGCUUCUUUGAUUCAGUCCAGUGCACACAGAGGGGGUGAGGAUGGUCUGCAGAUGAUGCAGAAUUUUAUGUGAGGCGUUUGUGGAAAGUUCAAAAAUUCUCCCUGGGAUUGUUCAUACCUUUUGGCUUAAGUAUCUGGAAAAGCACAUUUUAUGCUCUGAAUGUACAGUAACACAUAGUUAAGCAUAAUAAAAAUAAUAAAAAUAAUAAAAACCUUUACCAAAACAACCUGCAUACCACUGCAACAGACUUCUUCACCCAUGGACAGAUAAUGAGUGAACAAACACCACAUGACAGAUGUUAGUCAUGCUGCUUAAUGAAUAACUGGUGAUGAGUACAAUACCUGUGUGGAAUGGCUGUAAUAUGUUCAAGGAAAAAUAUGCAUUUGGAUCAUCUGUUUUUCUCUGAGGUACCUGCAGUGCUUGAGAGAAAUGUCUUCAUCAGGAAGAAGCCUAAGUAUUUCAACAUUUUUCUGCAUCUGUUUCCUUGACUGCUUUGUUCCUUGGCCAUCCGUAGCAGUCACUGGAUGAUGAAAUAUUUUUCCUUCAAAAUAUUUUAAAAAGAAAUACUCUGGCCUUCUCUUUCUGUUCCACCAUGACCUCACUGGUAGUGCCAGAAGCUUUAUGGCAGUCCUUCAUGCUGACAUUCAUGUCAGUGAUCUAAGCAUUUCAGAAUACAGCUCUACAAAAAAAGACCGACUCGUACAAUGUCAGUCCUGGACUGGCGUUUACCACCAUGAUACCCAGAGGACAUUACUCUUCUAGAUAAUAUGCUCAAGGAUAGCUGAGCACCAUGGUAACAGAGUCAGUGAAUAUGCAACAAUCUGUUAUUUUGUUACAUAAAACAUCACUGUCAAGUCUUACUUUUGUGUCAUUAGGAAGGAAUUAAAUUUUAUUUGUGUGUA